rnacentral:lncRNA from 1 species
GCACUUUAACCUUUAAAGACAAAGAAUUCUACAGUUUGCAGUUGCAGUUCCUGCCCAAUGGUUUCUUUUGCUCAGUGGACCAUUAGUAAAAUGCGUGGGAAAAGUUGGACUGAAAAUGGGGAGAGAAGGAGUCCCCUCCACAACCUCGUGCUCAAGAGAUUCAGAGGGAGCACCCUCAAGGACCAAGUGCUCAAGAGACUCAGAGCGAGCACCCUCAAGAACUUCGUGGUCAAGAGACUCAGAGGGAGCACCUUCCACAACUUCAUGCUCAAUAGACUCAGAGGGAGCACCCUCC